UACGGAGGGUGCAAACGUUGCUCGGAAUCACUGGGCGUAAAGGGCGUGUAGGCGGGAAGGAAAGUCGGGCGUGAAAUCCCUGGGCUCAACCCAGGAACUGCACUCGAAACUUCUUUUCUUGAGUGCCGGAGAGGAAAGCGGAAUACCUGGUGUAGAGGUGAAAUUCGUAGAUAUCAGGUGGAACACCAGUGGCGAAGGCGGCUUUCUGGACCGUAACUGACGCUGAGACACGAAAGCGUGGGUAGCAAACAGG
rnacentral:rRNA from 1 species